rnacentral:rRNA from 2 species
GUAAAUUAAUUAAUUUACUUUACUUACAAAUCCACCUUCAAUUUUAAUAUAAAUUAAAAAUCCGUAUAAAUAAAAUUAUUGUAACCCAUUAAUACUUAUACAUAAGCUUCACCUUGACCUGACAUAUAUGUAUUUAACAAUAGAGAAAAUUUUUUCUAAAAAAACAUUCUUAUGACGGAGGUAUAAAAACUGAAUACAAGAAUAAGUAAAUAAAAUCGUGGAUUAUCGAUUACACAACAGGUUCCUCUGAAAGGAAUAAAAUACCGCCAAAUUCUUUGGGUUUCAAGAACUUAACUAUUACUACCCAGGUGUUACAUUAACAUUUAGU